rnacentral:rRNA from 1 species
AUAACUACUGGAAACGGUAGCUAAUACCGCAUAACGUCGCAAGACCAAAGAGGGGGACCUUCGGGCCUCUUGCCAUCAGAUGUGCCCAGAUGGGAUUAGCUAGUAGGUGGGGUAACGGCUCACCUAGGCGACGAUCCCUAGCUGGUCUGAGAGGAUGACCAGCCACACUGGAACUGAGACACGGUCCAGACUCCUACGGGAGGCAGCAGUGGGGAAUAUUGCACAAUGGGCGCAAGCCUGGUGCAGCCAUGCCGCGUGUAUGAAGAAGGCCUUCGGGUUGUAAAGUACUUUCAGCGGGGAGGAAGGCGUUGAGGUUAAUAACCUCAGCGAUUGACGUUACCCGCAGAAGAAGCACCGGCUAACUCCGUGCCAGCAGCCGCGGUAAUACGGAGGGUGCAAGCGUUAAUCGGAAUUACUGGGCGUAAAGCGCACGCAGGCGGUCUGUCAAGUCGGAUGUGAAAUCCCCGGGCUCAACCUGGGAACUGCAUUCGAAACUGGCAGGCUAGUGUCUUGUAGAGGGGGGUAGAAUUCCAGGUGUAGCGGUGAAAUGCGUAGAGAUCUGGAGGAAUACCGGUGGCGAAGGCGGCCCCCUGGACAAAGACUGACGCUCAGGUGCGAAAGCGUGGGGAGCAAACAGGAUUAGAUACCCUUGUAGUCCACGCCGUAAACGAUGUCGACUUGGAGGUUGUGCCCUUGAGGCGUGGCUUCCGGAGCUAACGCGUUAAGUCGACCGCCUGGGGAGUNNACNGGCCGCAAGGUUAAAACUCAAAUGAAUUGACGGGGGCCCGCACAAGCGGUGGAGCAUGUGGUUUAAUUCGAUGCAACGCGAAGAACCUUACCUACUCUUGACAUCCAGAGAACUUUCCAGAGAUGGAUUGGUGCCUUCGGGAACUCUGAGGCAGGUGCUGCAUGGCUGUCGUCAGCUCGUGUUGUGAAAUGUUGGGUUAAGUCCCGCAACGAGCGCAACCCUUAUCCUUUGUUGCCAGCGGUCCGGCCGGGAACUCAAAGGAGACUGCCAGUGAUAAACUGGAGGAAGGUGGGGAUGACGUCAAGUCAUCAUGGCCCUUACGAGUAGGGCUACACACGUGCUACAAUGGC